rnacentral:rRNA from 1 species
ACGAACUGCGCGAACGUUAUUCGGAAUCACUGGGCUUACAGGGUGCGUAGGCGGCCAACCAGGUCAGGUGUGAAAUCCCACGGCUCAACCGUGGAACUGCGCUUGAAACCGGAUGGCUUGAGUGAGCUAGGGGUGCACGGAACUUCCAGUGGAGCGGUGAAAUGUGUUGAUAUUGGAAGGAACACCAGAAGCGAAAGCGGUGCACUGGGGCUUGUCUGACGCUGAGGCACGAAAGCCAGGGUAGCGAACGGG